UACGUAGGGACCAAGCGUUGUUCGGAUUUACUGGGCGUAAAGGGCGCGUAGGCGGCUUGUCAAGUCACUUGUGAAAUCUCUGAGCUUAACUCAGAACGGCCAAGUGAUACUGCAGUGCUAGAGUGUGGAAGGGGCAAUCGGAAUUCUUGGUGUAGCGGUGAAAUGCGUAGAUAUCAAGAGGAACACCUGAGGUGAAGACGGGUUGCUGGGCCAACACUGACGCUGAGGCGCGAAAGCCAGGGGAGCAAACGGG
rnacentral:rRNA from 1 species